rnacentral:rRNA from 1 species
UACGUAGGGUGCAAGCGUUAAUCGGAAUUACUGGGCGUAAAGCGUGCGCAGGCGGUUGUGCAAGACAGAUGUGAAAUCCCCGGGCUUAACCUGGGAACUGCAUUUGUGACUGUACGGCUGGAGUGCGGCAGAGGGGGGAUGGAAUUCCGCGUGUAGCAGUGAAAUGCGUAGAUAUGCGGAGGAACACCGAUGGCGAAGGCAAUCCCCUGGGCCUGCACUGACGCUCAUGCACGAAAGCGUGGGGAGCAAACAGG